AACUGAUACUACCUGCGGGAACCUGCGGAGGGAUCAUUAUAGAGUUUUCUAAACUCCCAACCCAUGUGAACUUACCUUUUGUUGCCUCGGCAGAAGUUAUAGGUCUUCUUAUAGCUGCUGCCGGUGGACCAUUAAACUCUUGUUAUUUUAUGUAAUCUGAGCGUCUUAUUUUAAUAAGUCAAAACUUUCAACAAUGGAUCUCU
rnacentral:misc_RNA from 1 species